GACGAACGCUGGCGGCGUGCUUAACACAUGCAAGUCGAGCGGUAAGGCCCUUUCGGGGGUACACGAGCGGCGAACGGGUGAGUAACACGUGGGUGACCUGCCCUUAGCUCUGGGAUAAGCCUGGGAAACUGGGUCUAAUACCGGAUAUGACUCCAUGACGCAUGUUGUGGGGUGGAAAGCCUUGUGCGGCUAGGGAUGGGCCCGCGGCCUAUCAGCUUGUUGGUGGGGUGAUGGCCUACCAAGGCGACGACGGGUAGCCGGCCUGAGAGGGCGACCGGCCACACUGGGACUGAGACACGGCCCAGACUCCUACGGGAGGCAGCAGUGGGGAAUCUUGCGCAAUGGGCGAAAGCCUGACGCAGCGACGCCGCGUGAGGGAUGACGGCCUGGUGUAA
rnacentral:rRNA from 1 species